rnacentral:rRNA from 1 species
AGAGUUUGAUCCUGGCUCAGAACGAACGUUGGCGGCGUGGAUUAGGCAUGCAAGUCGUACGAGCUUCAUCUGGGCAACUGGGUGAAGAAAGUGGCGAAAGGGGCAGUAAGGCAUGGAUAAUCUACCCUGAUGACCGGGAUAGCUGUCCCAACGGGCAGGUAAUACCGGAUGAGCUGGCGGGGCCGCAUGGUUCUGCCAGGAAAGGCGCAAGCCGUGUCGGGAGGAAUCCAUGUGAUAUUAGCUAGUUGGUGAGGUAACGGCUCACCAAGGCGAAGAUGUCUAGCGGGUGUGAGAGCACGACCCGCGCCAUUGGCACUGAGACACUGGCCAGACUCCUACGGGAGGCUGCAGUCGAGGAUCUUCGGCAAUGGGCGCAAGCCUGACCGAGCGACGCCGCGUGAGCGAUGAAGGCCAUUAGGUUGUAAAGCUCUGUCGAGGGGGAACAAGCCGCAAGGUUGAGUGAUCCCUUGGAGGAAGCACGGGCUAAGUUCGUGCCAGCAGCCGCGGUAAGACGAACCGUGCGAACGUUGUUCGGAAUCAUUGGGCUUAAAGGGCGCGUAGGCGGGUUGACAAGUCCGGGGUGAAAGCCUCCAGCUCAACUGGAGAAGAGCCCCGGAUACUGUCAGUCUGGAGAGGGAUAGGGGCACAUGGAACUUCCGGUGGAGCGGUGAAAUGCGUAGAGAUCGGAAGGAACGCCGGUGGCGAAAGCGAUGUGCUGGAUCUUUUCUGACGCUGAGGCGCGAAAGCUAGGGGAGCAAACGGGAUUAGAUACCCCGGUAGUCCUAGCCCUAAACGAUGGGUACUGGGUUGCGGGUCAGACAUAGACUCGCAGCCGGAGCAAAAGUGUUAAGUACCCCGCCUGGGGAGUAUGGUCGCAAGGCUGAAACUCAAAGGGAUUGACGGGGGCUCACACAAGCGGUGGAGCAUGUGGCUUAAUUCGAGGCUACGCGAAGAACCUUAUCC